rnacentral:rRNA from 2 species
GAUUUCUGGUAUGAUGCACAGGCCCCGGCUAGAAAUAGAUCGUGUGACUUCGCGCGUCUACCAUCCUUCGCUACGGAUGUGUUGGCAUGUAAAAAGUGUCAGCUGCCGUUGUGAUCUUUUACUUUGAAAAAAUUAGAGUGUUUAAAGCAGGCUUGUGCCUUGAAUACAUUAGCAUGGAAUAAUAAUAUAGGACUGGGUUCCUAUUUUGUUGGCUUUCUGGAAUCGAGUAAUGAUUGAUAGGGAUAGUUGGGGGUGCUAGUAUUCAGCGGCCAGAGGUGAAAUUCUUUGAUUCGCUGAAGACUAACUUAUGCGAAAGCAUU